rnacentral:misc_RNA from 1 species
UGUGGGAGCGAGCCUGCUCGCGAUCGCGGUGGGUCAGUAAAGUUAAUGUUGGCUGACACUCCGCUAUCGCGAGCAGGCUCGCUCCCACA